rnacentral:misc_RNA from 1 species
GAUGAAGAACGCAGCGAAAUGCGAUAAUUAAUGUGAAUUGCAGAAUUCAGUGAAUCAUCGAGUCUUUGAACGCACAAUGCGCCCCCUGGUAUUCCGGGGGGCAUGCCUGUCCGAGCGUCAUUGCUGCCCUCAAGCACGGCUUGUGUGUUGGGCCUCCGUCCUCCUCCCGGGGGACGGGCCCGAAAGGCAGCGGCGGCACCGCGUCCGGUCCUCGAGCGUAUGGGGCUUCGUCACCCGCUCUUGUAGGCCCGGCCGGCGCUUGCCGACUCAUCAAUCUUUUUUCCAGGUUGACCUCGGAUCAGGUAGGGAUACCCGCUGAACUUAAGCAUAUCAAUAAGCGGAGGA